rnacentral:rRNA from 1 species
AGUGAACGCUGGCGGUAGGCCUAACACAUGCAAGUCGAACGGCAGCACAGUAAGAGCUUGCUCUUACGGGUGGCGAGUGGCGGACGGGUGAGGAAUACAUCGGAAUCUACUUUUUCGUGGGGGAUAACGUAGGGAAACUUACGCUAAUACCGCAUACGACCUACGGGUGAAAGCAGGGGAUCUUCGGACCUUGCGCGAUUGAAUGAGCCGAUGUCGGAUUAGCUAGUUGGCGGGGUAAAGGCCCACCAAGGCGACGAUCCGUAGCUGGUCUGAGAGGAUGAUCAGCCACACUGGAAGUGAGACACGGUCCAGACUCCUACGGGAGGCAGCAGUGGGGAAUAUUGGACAAAGGGCGCAAGCCUGAUCCAGCCAUACCGCGUGUGUGAAGAAGGCGUUCGGGUUGUAAAGCCCUUUUGUUGGGAAAGAAAAGCAGCAGGUUAAUACCCCGCUGUUCUGACGGUACCCAAAGAAUAAGCACCGGCUAACUUCGUG